UACGUAGGGUCCGAGCGUUAUCCGGAAUUAUUGGGCGUAAAGAGCUCGUAGGCGGUUUGUCGCGUCUGCUGUGAAAUCCCGAGGCUCAACCUCGGGUCUGCAGUGGGUACGGGCAGACUAGAGUGUGGUAGGGGAGACUGGAAUUCCUGGUGUAGCGGUGAAAUGCGCAGAUAUCAGGAGGAACACCGAUGGCGAAGGCGGGUCUCUGGACAGUUCCUGACACUGAGACACGAAGGCCAGGGGAGCAAACGGG
rnacentral:rRNA from 1 species